ACUGGGGGCAGUGGCCCACGCCUGUAGCCCCAGCUACUUUGGAGGCUGAGGCAGGAGGAUCACUUGAGCCCAGGAGUUCUGGGCUGCAGUGCCCUAUGCCAGCUGGGUGUCUGCACUAAGCUGGGUAUCAACAUAGUGACCUCCCAGGAGUCAGGGGACCGUUGAGUUGCCUAAGGAGGGGUGAACCGGCGCAGGUCAGAAACGCAGCAGGUCAAAACUCCUGUGCUCAUUAAAAUGGUACUGCCGCUGUGGAAGGUAGUUUGACAGUUUCCUGCAAAACUAAACACAGACUUAC
rnacentral:SRP_RNA from 1 species